rnacentral:misc_RNA from 1 species
UCGUAACAAGGUCUCCGUAGGUGAACCUGCGGAGGGAUCAUUACAGAGUUCGUGCCCUCACGGGUAGAUCUCCCACCCUGUGCCGUCGUUACCUUUGUUGCUUUGGCGGGCCGCCGCCCGGCCGCCGGCUCACGCUGGCGCGCGCCCGCCAGAGGACCUCAACUCUUGUUUUUUAGUGUCGUCUGAGUACUAUACAAUCGUUAAAACUUUCAACAACGGAUCUCUUGGUUCUGGCAUCGAUGAAGAACGCAGCGAAAUGCGAUAAGUAAUGCGAAUUGCAGAAUUCAGUGAGUCAUCGAAUCUUUGAACGCACAUUGCGCCCUGUGGUAUUCCGCAGGGCAUGCCUGUUCGAGCGUCAUUUCAACCCUCAAGCUCUGCUUGGUGUUGGGCCCUGCCCGUCGCGGCCGGCCCUAAAAUCAGUGGCGGUGCCGCUGGGCUCUGAGCGUAGUACAUCUCUCGCUCCAGCGCCCCGCGGUGGCUUGCCAGAACCCCAACUUCUGUGGUUGACCUCGGAUCAGGUAGGGAUACCCGCUGAACUUAAGCAUAUCAAUAA